GGGGAAUAUUGGACAAUGGGCGAAAGCCUGAUCCAGCAAUACCGCGUGUGUGAAGAAGGCCUGAGGGUUGUAAAGCACUUUCAAUAGGAAGGAAUACCUACUGGUUAAUACCCGGUAGACUGACAUUACCUAUACAAGAAGCACCGGCUAACUCCGUGCCAGCAGCCGCGGUAAUACGGAGGGUGCAAGCGUUAAUCGGAAUUACUGGGCGUAAAGCGUGCGUAGGCGGUUUUUUAAGUCAGAUGUGAAAGCCCCGGGCUUAACCUGGGAAUGGCAUUUGAUACUGGAAGACUUGAGUUUAAGAGAGGGGAGUGGAAUUUCAGGUGUAGCGGUGAAAUGCGUAGAGAUCUGAAGGAACACCAGUGGCGAAGGCGGCUCCCUGGCUUAAAACUGACGCUGAGGUACGAAAGCGUGGGUAGCAAAC
rnacentral:rRNA from 1 species